UACAGAGGGUGCAAGCGUUGUUCGGAAUUACUGGGCGUAAAGCGCGCGUAGGCGGAUCUGCAAGUCGGGGGUGAAAUCCCGAGGCUCAACCUCGGAACUGCCUUCGAUACUGCGGGUCUCGAGUCCGGGAGAGGUGAGUGGAAUUCCUAGUGUAGAGGUGAAAUUCGUAGAUAUUAGGAAGAACACCAGUGGCGAAGGCGGCUCACUGGCCCGGUACUGACGCUGAGGUGCGAAAGCGUGGGGAGCAACAGGG
rnacentral:rRNA from 1 species